AACGAACGCUGGCGGCAUGCCUAACACAUGCAAGUCGAACGAGACCUUCGGGUCUAGUGGCGCACGGGUGCGUAACGCGUGGGAAUCUGCCCUUGGGUUCGGAAUAACAGUUGGAAACGACUGCUAAUACCGGAUGAUGACGUAAGUCCAAAGAUUUAUCGCCCAAGGAUGAGCCCGCGUAGGAUUAGCUAGUUGGUGAGGUAAAGGCUCACCAAGGCGACGAUCCUUAGCUGGUCUGAGAGGAUGAUCAGCCACACUGGGACUGAGACACGGCCCAGACUCCUACGGAGGCAGCAGUGGGGAAUAUUGGACAAUGGGCGAAAGCCUGAUCCAGCAAUGCCGCGUGAGUGAUGAAGGCCUUAGGGUUGUAAAGCUCUUUUACCUAGGGAAGAUGAUGACUGUACCUGGAGAAUAAGCCCCGGCUAACUUCGUGCCAGCAGCCGCGGUAAU
rnacentral:rRNA from 1 species